UUGAACGCUGGCGGCAUGCCUUACACAUGCAAGUCGAACGGCAGCACGGGUGCUUGCACCUGGUGGCGAGUGGCGAACGGGUGAGUAAUACAUCGGAACAUGUCCUGUAGUGGGGGAUAGCCCGGCGAAAGCCGGAUUAAUACCGCAUACGAUCUACGGAUGAAAGCGGGGGACCUUCGGGCCUCGCGCUAUAGGGUUGGCCGAUGGCUGAUUAGCUAGUCGGUGGGGUAAAGGCCUACCAAGGCGACGAUCAGUAGCUGGUCUGAGAGGACGACCAGCCACACUGGGACUGAGACACGGCCCAGACUCCUACGGGAGGCAGCAGUGGGGAAUUUUGGACAAUGGGCGAAAGCCUGAUCCAGCAAUGCCGCGUGUGUGAAGAAGGCCUUCGGGUUGUAAAGCACUUUUGUCCGGAAAGAAAUCCUUGGCCCUAAUACGGUCGGGGGAUGACGGUACCGGAAGAAUAAGCACCGGCUAACUACGUG
rnacentral:rRNA from 1 species